AAAAUCGGGGUAACAAACUAAAACUGAGGGAAACGCAUUAAAUAUAAGAGGAGAACAACGACACAACACUACAGUGUAACACACACAGAAACGGACCAAGCAUCAGACAGAAUAACAAAUAUAACAUCAAAACCAAGUACAUGAAUUUGGGAUAGACAAGUACCGUGACACGUCUUAUCGCAAUGUCAAUUUACACUAAAAAUAAGAGAAAACAAACGACGCAACGUUAAAUUGUAACACACACAGAAACGAACUAUAAUA
rnacentral:lncRNA from 1 species